rnacentral:rRNA from 1 species
GAUGAAUGCUGGCGGCGUGCCUAACACAUGCAAGUCGAGCGGUAACAGGAGUAGUUUACUACUUGCUGACGAGCGGCGGACGGCUGAGUAACGCGUGGGAACGUGCCUCAAAGCGAGGGAUAACUGCCCGAAAGGGUGGCUAAUACCGCAUAUGGUCUUCGGAUUAAAGGAUUUAUCCGCUUUGGGAGCGGCCCGCGUGAGAUUAGGUAGUUGGUAGGGUAAUGGCCUACCAAGCCUACGAUCUAUAGCUGGUCUGAGAGGAUGACCAGCCAGACUGGAACUGAGACACGGUCCAGACUCCUACGGGAGGCAGCAGUGAGGAAUCUUCCACAAUGGGCGAAAGCCUGAUGGAGCAACGCCGCGUGAAGGAUGAAGGCCCUCGGGUUGUAAACUUCUUUUAUAAGUGAAGAAUAUGACGGUAACUUAUGAAUAAGCACCGGCUAACUACGUGCCAGCCGCCGCAGUAA